GAGAAGAUUGCAAUCAAAUCAGUAUCUUUGCCCCCACAACCCAAAACAGCUUUCCUGCAGCUUCUUCUUGAGGGAGUGAAAGCUGCUUAGAGCAGCGUGUAAAUUCAUGGCAAGAAGCAAUAAAGAUCGGCACUUCCAAAUCUCAGCCAUUCAAGCAGUUGCAUCAGGGCCGUCUCUGCAGCAAAACUGCUACAUUUCCAACACAGUUUUCUAAGCCUAUAGAGCCUGAGCCUGGAGAACCAAAUCAGCACCCGUUUCUCCUAAAGCUCGGAAACAGGUAAGACUGUUUUAACCAACAAGUUUAGUUCAGGGGAGAGUUUUACUUUCUCAAUAUACAAUAUAAAAAAGAAAGGAGAGAACAAGACAAAUGGCAAUUAGUCAUUGACAAUGGAAGACAUGAUGCCUAUGAUGGCUUAGUACAGGGAUAAGAUCGUUUUGUCCUGGAGGUGUCAUUCCUAUCUAUCAAAAAAGUCAGAGAGAUGAGUUGUUUCACAACAAAUUGACGUUGGGAGGAAACUCAGCUACAAGUUGGCAUUCGUUUCUGCUAUCCAUGGGUUAACAAAAUUCCAAAGUUAUAAUUUCACUUACAUUCUAUAAUAUACCAUUCCAGCUAAAUUUUCAUCUCUUCUCUUUCUCCUGCCUUUCUAAAAGAGUAGCUUAGCAUUUCAUUUCAGACUUGCAAAAGCCCUGAGAUUCUUUCCUAUCUUUUCCUUCCCAGAGCUCUUUGUAAGUAAAUCAAACCUGCCUUCCCUAUACCAUACCUGCAUUUAGCAGGCAAACUCUCUCUCAGAGUGUACAAGGCGUAUAGGCUUAACAGACUGGUUUAUCCUUAUGUGGGCAGAAAGGCACUUAUAAAGCAUACUGUUUGAUGAUGACAUCCAAGAUCGAGUUUCAACAAUUUUUCAUGGUCUGUAAAAUGCUGCAGUGCUAAUAAAAUUCUAACCUAGUUUAGAUUAC